UACGUAGGCGGCAAGCGUUGUUCGGAGUUACUGGGCGUAAAGGGUGCGUAGGCGGCUUUUUAAGUUUGGUGUGAAAUCUCCCGGCUCAACUGGGAGGGUGCGCCGAAUACUGAGAGGCUAGAGUGCGGGAGAGGAAAGUGGAAUUCCUGGUGUAGCGGUGAAAUGCGUAGAUAUCAGGAGGAACACCGGUGGUGUAAACGGCUUUCUGGACCGUAACUGACGCUGAGGCACGAAAGCGUGGGUAGCAAACAGG
rnacentral:rRNA from 1 species